GGAAUUCAGUUUCAGUUUUUUGAUUGAAUUUGUUUAGGUGAAAUAUUGUUUAACAACCAUGUUUAGUUGACUUUAUUUCUAAAUUUAGUCUAAUGCGUUUGCUGGAACUCGGAAUUGUUUUUUGUCUCAAUUCUGUCGAUUGGUAUGCUUAGUUCUAUAGAAUGAAUUUUCCUUAAAUUUGCAUUCAAUAUCCUCUUGUCGAUCUCUUAAUCGAACUGCUUAUUUGAGUUCUAGAAGAAUGUUGCAAGAUUUUCCCUUCACUUCCUUCUGAUAUGAGGGAAAAAUAAACCAAGUUUUGUCUCUGUUAUCGGUGGGGAGCUUUGGGUAUCUUAGUCUCCUAUUCCUUCGAUUUAUCUAGAUACAGCCUCUGUGAUCUUGGAGCAAAGGAGGAAU
rnacentral:lncRNA from 1 species